rnacentral:tRNA from 1 species
GGGAAAGUGGCUCAGUGGUAGAGUGCUUGCCUUGCAAGCAUGAGGCCCUGGGUUCGAUUCCUUAGCACCA